rnacentral:rRNA from 1 species
UGGCUCAGGACGAACGCUGGCGGUAUGCUUAACACAUGCAAGUCGAACGAGACGAGAUGGAAGGAUCCUCGGGUGACGGAAAUCUUAGAAAGUGGCGAACGGGUGAGUAACGCGUGGGUAACCUGCCCUAUGGAAAGGAAUAGCCUCGGGAAACUGGGAGUAAUGCCUUAUAAUACAUUGAAGUCGCAUGGCUUUGAUGUUAAACGCUCCGGUGCCAUAGGAUGGACCCGCGUCCCAUUAGCUAGUUGGUGAGAUAACAGCCCACCAAGGCGACGAUGGGUAACCGGUCUGAGAGGGCGAACGGUCACACUGGAACUGAGACACGGUCCAGACUCCUACGGGAGGCAGCAGUGGGGAAUAUUGCGCAAAUGGGGGAAACCCUGACGCAGCAAUACCGCGUGAGUGAAGAAGGUUUUCGGAUCGUAAAGCUCUGUUAUUGGGGAAGAAAAAAGACGGUACCCAAGAAGAAAGUCCCGGCUAACUACGUGCCAGCAGCGGC